GACGAACGCUGGCGGCGUGCUUAACACAUGCAAGUCGAACGCUGAACCCGCUUCGGUGGGGGAUGAGUGGCGAACGGGUGAGUAACACGUGGGCAACCUGCCCCCGGCUCUGGGAUAACUCCAAGAAAUUGGGGCGUAAUACCGGAUGUUCACUGCUGGCCGCAUGGUCGGUGGUGGAAAGGGUUUCCGGCUGGGGAUGGGCCCGCGGCCUAUCAGCUUGUUGGUGGGGUAGUGGCCUACCAAGGCGACGACGGGUAGCCGGCCUGAGAGGGUGACCGGCCACACUGGGACUGAGACACGGCCCAGACUCCUACGGGAGGCAGCAGUGGGGAAGUAUUGCGCAAUGGGCGGAAGCCUGACGCAGCGACGCCGCGUGGGGGAUGACGG
rnacentral:rRNA from 1 species